rnacentral:rRNA from 1 species
AGAGCGGGAGCCCGGAGAUGGGCACUGAGACAAGGGCCCAGGCCCUACGGGGCGCAGCAGUCGCGAAAACUUUGCAAUACACGAAAGUGUGACAGGGCUAUCCCGAGUGCCAUCCGCUGAGGAAGGCUUUUACCCAGUCUAGAAAGCUGGGGGAAUAAGGAGAGGGCAAGUCUGGUGUCAGCCGCCGCGGUAAUACCAGCUCUCCGAGUGGUGUGGAUGUUUAUUGGGCCUAAAGCAUCCGUAGCUGGCUAAGUUAGUCCCUUGUUAAAUCCACCGAAUUAAUCGUUGGAUCGCGGGGGAUACUGCUUGGCUAGGGGACGAGAGAGGCAGACGGUAUUUUCGGGGUAGGGGUGAAAUCCUAUAAUCCCGGGAAGACCACCAGUGGCGAAGGCUGUCUGCU